ACUUUAUGUGUUUCUUGGGCAUUAGAUGGCAAACUCCUUUGGAUACCAGGAACGGAUCUGAAUUGUCUUUAGAAAAUUCAUUACUUACCUUGGGUGCCGCUGAUGACGUCACGUAUGACAAAAUGUGUAGGAAAGAGACACAUACACACGUCACCACACAUGCUUGAUUGAUGGUAGGCCAUCUUGCUUCCUGGAACUACGAUUGUUUUAACACAUAUUUGUUUUAAGCUACCCAAAUAUCACUACCAAACACCCUAUUACAGGUCAAUACCCUUGGAAAAGUACAGCCCAGUUAUCCUACACUAUGUAAAUAAAAAGAAAUAAACACGAA